rnacentral:rRNA from 1 species
ACUCAAUAGAUACCCUGGUAGUCCUGGCCCUAAACGAUGUCUACUAGAUCGUGGCGGCACUGACGCCGUCAUGGUCGAGGCAAAAGUGUUAAGUAGACCGCCUGGGAAGUACGGUCGCAAGGCUAAAACUCAAAGAAAUUGACGGGGGCUCACACAAGCGGUGGAGCAUGUGGUUCAAUUCGAAGCAACGCGAAGAACCUUACCUGGGCUUGACAUGCUAGGAUUAUCUUGAUGAAAGUCGAGUAGGCCCCGCAAGGGGUACAACUAGUACAGGUGCUGCAUGGCUGUCGUCAGCUCGUGUCGUGAGAUGUCGGGUUAAGUCCCUUAACGAGCGAAACCUUUGCCCUUAGUUGCCAUCGGGUUAUGCCGGGCACUCUAAGGGGACUGCCGGUGUCAAACCGGAGGAAGGUGGAGAUGACGUCAAGUCCUCAUGGCCUUUAUGCCCAGGGCUACACACGUGCUACAAUGGCGUCCACAAAGCGAGCCGAGAGCGCAAGCUGGAGGAAAUCGCAGAAAUGACG